rnacentral:rRNA from 1 species
GAUGAACGCUGGCGGCGUGCCUAAUACAUGCAAGUCGAGCGAACGGACGAGAAGCUUGCUUCUCUGAUGUUAGCGGCGGACGGGUGAGUAACACGUGGAUAACCUACCUAUAAGACUGGGAUAACUUCGGGAAACCGGAGCUAAUACCGGAUGAUAUUUUGAACCGCAUGGUUCAAAAGUGAAAGACGGUCUUGCUGUCACUUAUAGAUGGAUCCGCGCUGCAUUAGCUAGUUGGUAAGGUAACGGCUUACCAAGGCGACGAUGCAUAGCCGACCUGAGAGGGUGAUCGGCCACACUGGAGCUGAGACACGGUCCAGGCUCCUACGGGAGGCAGCAGUAGGGAAUCUUCCGCAAUGGGCGGAAGCCUGGCGGAGCAACGCCGCGUGAGUGAUGAAGGUCUUCGGAUCGUAAUACUCUGUUAUUAGGGAAGAACAGAUGUGUAAGUAACUGUACACAUCUUGACGGUACCUAAUCAGAAAGCCACGGCUAACUACGUG